rnacentral:rRNA from 1 species
CCGAGAAUCUUCCGCAAUGCGCAUAUUUGCGUGACGGAGCGACGCCGCGUGAAGGAAGAAGCCCUGUGGGGUGUAAACUUCUGUCGAAUGGGAGCAAUUCAAGAGAGAGUACCAUUCUAAUAGAGGCUGCUAACUUCGUGCCAGCAGCAGCGGUAAUACGAAGGCCUCAAGCGUUAUCCGGAUUUAUUGGGCGUAAAGCGUCUGCAGGUUGAAUAAAAGGUCUUUACUUAAAUUCUCGGGCUCAACCCGAGGUCUGGUAUUGAAACCAUUAUUCUAGAGCAUGUUAGAGGUAAGCGGAACUCAUGGUGUAGCAGUGAAAUGCGUUGAUAUCAUGGGGAACACCAAAGGCGAAGGCAGCUUACUGGGACAUUGCUGACACUCAGAGACGAAAGUGUAGGUA